UAAGGAAUAUUGGUCAAUGGACGCAAGUCUGAACCAGCCAUGCCGCGUGGAGGAUGAAGGUCCUCUGGAUUGUAAACUUCUUUUAUUUGGGAAGAAACCCACGGUUUCUACUGUGGUUGACGGUACCAGAUGAAUAAGCACCGGCUAACUCCGUGCCAGCAGCCGCGGUAAUACGGAGGGUGCAAGCGUUAUCCGGAUUCACUGGGUUUAAAGGGUGCGUAGGCGGGCAGGUAAGUCAGUGGUGAAAUCCCCGAGCUUAACUUGGGAACUGCCGUUGAUACUAUCUGUCUUGAAUACUAUGGAGGUAAGCGGAAUAUGUCAUGUAGCGGUGAAAUGCUUAGAUAUGACAUAGAACACCAAUUGCGAAGGCAGCUUGCUACACAGUUAUUGACGCUGAGGCACGAAAGCGUGGGGAUCAAACAGGAUUAGAUACCCAUGUAGUCCCUGAGCGGGCUGGCAAGGCGCAU
rnacentral:rRNA from 1 species